AAUAACAUGGUUUAUGUGCUCGUUCUGGGUAAAUAGAGUUUCUAGCAUUUAUGUUAGUUACUUGUUCCCCGGAUAGUUUAGUUACGUAGCCAAUUGUGGAACUUUCUUGCUAAAAUUUUUAAGAAUACUAUUUGGGUUAAACCAAUUAGUUCUUAUUAAUUAUAACGAUUAUCAAUUAACAAUCAAUUCAGAACUGGCACGGACUUGGGGAAUCCGACUGUCUAAUUAAAACAAAGCAUUGUGAUGGCCCUAGCGGGUGUUGACACAAUGUGAUUUCUGCCCAGUGCUCUGAAUGUCAAAGUGAAGAAAUUCAAGUAAGCGCGGGUCAACGGCGGGAGUAACUAUGACUCUCUUAAGGUAGCCAAAUGCCUCGUCAUCUAAUUAGUGACGCGCAUGAAUGGAUUAACGAGAUUCCUACUGUCCCUAUCUACUAUCUAGCGAAACCACAGCCAAGGGAACGGGCUUGGAAUAAUUAGCGGGGAAAGAAGACCCUUUUGAGCUUGACUCUAAUCUGGCAGUGUAAGGAGACAUAAGAGGUGUAGAAUAAGUGGGAGAUAUUAGACCUCGGUUUGGUAUCGUCAAUGAAAUACCACUACUCUUAUUGUUUCCUUACUUACUUGAUUAAAUGGAACGUGUAUCAUUUCCUAGCCAUUAUACGGAUAUAUUUAUUAUAUCUUAUGGUAUUGGGUUUUGAUGCAAGCUUCUUGAUCAAAGUAUCACGAGUUUGUUAUAUAAUCGCAAACAAAUUCUUUAAUAAAACGAUGCAUUUAUGUAU
rnacentral:rRNA from 1 species